rnacentral:lncRNA from 1 species
UAAACCAAAGCAACAAAACAAUCAAUGGGGUCUCCAAUGGCCUCUUUAGUAGCAACUUUGCUUGUCUUGACAAUCUCUCUCACCUUUGUAUCUCAAUCAACCGCUAACUACUUCUACUCUUCUCCUCCACCUCCGGUUAAACACUACCAAUACAAAUCUCCACCUCCUCCUGUUAAGCAUUACUCUCCCCCUCCAGUUUACCAUUCUCCACCACCACCUAAAAAACACUACGAAUACAAAUCCCCUCCUCCUCCGGUCAAGCAUUAUUCUCCACCACCGGUUUAUCACUCUCCACCACCACCAAAAAAGCACUACGAGUACAAAUCCCCUCCUCCUCCGGUUAAGCACUACUCUCCACCACCGGUUUACCAUUCUCCACCACCACCAAAGAAGCACUAUGUGUACAAAUCCCCUCCUCCUCCGGUUAAGCACUACUCUCCACCACCGGUUUACCAUUCUCCACCACCACCAAAGAAGCACUAUGUGUACAAAUCCCCUCCUCCUCCGGUUAAACACUAUUCUCCUCCUCCUGUUUACCAUUCUCCACCACCACCCAAGAAGCACUAUGUGUACAAAUCUCCACCCCCACCUGUUAUGCACUACUCUCCCCCACCAGUCUACCAUUCACCACCACCACCCAAAAAACAUUACGUAUACAAAUCUCCUCCUCCUCCGGUUAAACACUACUCACCACCUCCAGUUUACCAUUCCCCACCCCCACCUAAAAAGCAUUAUGUCUACAAAUCUCCUCCACCACCGGUUAAACACUACUCUCCUCCCCCGGUUUACCACUCUCCACCACCACCAAAGAAACACUACGUGUACAAAUCACCUCCUCCUCCAGUUAAGCACUAUUCUCCACCUCCAGUUUACCACUCUCCACCACCACCAAAGAAACACUACGUGUACAAAUCACCUCCUCCUCCAGUUAAGCACUAUUCUCCACCUCCAGUUUACCACUCUCCACCACCACCAAAGAAACACUACGUGUACAAAUCCCCUCCUCCCCCGGUUAAGCACUACUCCCCUCCUCCAGUUUACCAUUCCCCACCCCCACCAAAGAAACACUACGUCUACAAAUCUCCUCCUCCUCCAGUGAAACACUACUCUCCCCCUCCGGUUUACCAUUCCCCACCACCACCAAAGAAACAUUACGUGUACAAAUCCCCUCCUCCUCCAGUUAAACACUAUUCCCCACCACCGGUUUACCAUUCUCCACCACCACCAAAGAAGCACUACGUCUACAAAUCCCCUCCUCCUCCGGUUAAGCACUACUCUCCUCCUCCGGUUUAUCAUUCCCCACCACCACCUAAGAAAAAGUACGUAUAUAAGUCACCUCCUCCUCCAGUCCACCACUACUCUCCCCCACACCAUCCUUACCUCUACAAAUCUCCUCCUCCUCCAUACCACUAUUAGAAUUCUCUGUCACGGUA